rnacentral:rRNA from 1 species
GUGCCAGCCGCCGCGGUAAUACCAGCCCCGCGAGUGGUUGGGACGUUUACUAGGCCUAAAGCGCCUGUAGCCGGCCCUGUAAGUCCCUCCCUAAAGGCCCGGGCUCAACCCGGGAACCGGGAGGGAUACUGCAGGGCUAGGGGGCGGGAGAGGCGGGGGGUACUCCAGGGGUAGGGGCGAAAUCCGAUAAUCCCUGGGGGACCACCAGUGGCGAAGGCGCCCGGCUGGAACGCGCCCGACGGUGAGGGGCGAAAGCCGGGGGAGCGAACCGGAUUAGAUACCCGGGUAGUCCCGGCUGUAAACUAUGCGGGCCAGGUGUCGGGCGGGCGUUAGAGCCCGCCCGGUGCCGCAGGGAAGCCGUUAAGCCCGCCGCCUGGGGAGUACGGCCGCAAGGCUGAAACUUAAAGGAAUAGGCGGGGGAGCACCACAAGGGGUGGAACCUGCGGCUCAAUUGGAGUCAACACCUGGAAGCUUACCGGGGGAGACCGCAGGAUGACGGCCAGGCUAACGACCUUGCCUGACUCGCGGAGAGGAGGUGCAUGGCCGUCGCCAGUUCGUGUUGUGAAAUGUCCGGUUAAGUCCGGCAACGAGCGAGACCCCCACCCCUAGUUGGUACCCUGGCCUCCGGGCCAGGGCCACACUAGGGGGACUGCCGCCGUAAGGCGGAGGAAGGAGGGGGCCACGGCAGGUCAGCAUGCCCCGAAACCCCCGGGCCGCACGCGGGUUACAAUGGCAGGGACAGCGGGAUCCUGCCCCGAGAGGGGUGGGCAAUCCCUAAACCCUGCCUCAGUUGGGAUCGAGGGCUGCAACUCGCCCUCGUGAACGAGGAAUCCCUAGUAACCGCAGGUCACCAACCUGCGGUGAAUACGUCCCUGCUCCUUGCACACACCGCCCGUC